AUGGUCCACAUAUCAGAUAUUAAACUGAUAAGAACAGAUACUACACUUGAUCUUAGCCAAAAGGCCGAGAAAGGUAUGAGUUGUGGCGUUGAGCUGGACAAAUACUCCAGAACUCGCUCUCAAAAAAUAUUCAGAAGUCCUAUUCAUAAUGCAGAAGCACUCCAUAGAGCAAGUGGAUGCAAAAACUCUGGGGUGGACACAAAGGCUGGGGGAGUGGGAGGAUGGGUGACCGUUCGGGAAGUUAGAUGA
rnacentral:rRNA from 1 species